rnacentral:rRNA from 1 species
CUGGCCUGCCCCUGAUAAAUUGAAUGGCCGCGGUAUAUUGACCGUGCUAAGGUAGCAUAAUCAUUAGUUUUUUAAUUGAAAACUGGAAUGAAGGGUUGGAUGAAAAAAUAACUGUUUUUAAUUAAAUUUUUUAAAAUUUUAUUUUUAAGUAAAAAAGCUUAAAUUUAUUUAAAAGACGAGAAGACCCUAUAGAGUUUAAUUUUAUUUGUUGUUUUAAUAUUUAGAAUUUUUUUUAUGUUAUAAUAAUUAAUAAAAUUUAAUUGGGGUGAUUAAUAAAUUUAAAAAACUUUAUUUAUAUUUAAAUAUUAAUUUAUAAAUUUUUGAUCCAUAUGUUUGAUUAUAAGACUAAAUUACCUUAGGGAUAACAGCGUAAUUUUAUUGGAGAGUUCUUAUUGAUAAUAAAGAUUGCGACCUCGAUGUUGGAUUAAAA